UUCCAAGCGAUUUAAGCUUCAUUCCCUAGCUAAAAACACUAGGAAAAUGAAGCCACAAUCCCUCUUUUCAUUUUCACUUCUCAUUCUCUUUUUCCACUCCAAAACUUUUGCCCAAUCACCAGCUGCUGCUCCAGUACAAGCACCACCAGUAGCCCCGGUAAAGGCACCACCUGCACCCCCAGCACAAUCACCAUCCGGAGUACAAGUAGCCGCAUCACCUGGCCCCCUUGACGUUGUUAAGAUUCUUGGAAAGGCUAGCCACUUCACUGUGUUCGUCCGCUUAUUGAAAUCUACCCAAGUUGAUACAGAGUUAUUCUUGCAGCUCAACAACACCAACAAUGGAGCAACCAUCUUCGCACCAAGUGAUGGUGCAUUUUCAGGCCUCAAAGGAGGCACCCUCAAUUCCCUAACCGAUGGAGACAAGAUAGAGUUAGUGAAGUUUCACAUAGUACCUACGUUCAUAUCAACUUCCCAAUUCCAGACUG
rnacentral:misc_RNA from 1 species